UCUUCAGCUGCCCUCUGGACCAACUUGUCAAAAGGCAAAGUUCUGAAAUAAGUACAAAAGAAUACUCAGACUUCAUAAGAGAAUAACUAGUAAUAUAAUUACUAUAGGCUUGCUGCAGAUGGAUUCUUACAGGUCAAUAUCCUUCUAUUCCAAGUUAUUGGUAGAAAAAUGCUUCUAUGGUAUCUGAUAACUUUUGGAAAUAUACAAACUUUCAGGUUUCAAGAGCUACCUGUUUCAACUGUCAUGGAAAAGCAAACUGAGUGAGGAAUGGGGUUCUCACUGAUACUAUACUGCUAAAGUGCUACUUCUUGCCUUGUAUCCGUCUGAAAAUCUAAGUGUCUCUGAUGCCAGGUUAUGGGCUAAUGGCUCCUGUGAAUGUGAAAGUCAAUCUGAACUACAGGCUACCACUGCUAAUUAUGUAGAAUGAGCAUUGCAGAAAAGAGGAGUCCACCAUCUAUUCAGAUUAAUCUACAAGGUACUGUUCUUAUAUAAAAUUUUGGAUCAAUUACAUCAAUAAAUUUACUUGCUAUUCUGUUAUUCAAUGUUUUUUAUCUCAGGACUUCGUUACCUCAUGCAUGUUCCAAACAGAAACCCAUCUACUAUUGUUAUGAAAAAUGGUAAAAAAUAUAUGGAAAGUUAUGGCCCUAGAAAGAGACAAGGGGCACUUGGAGAUGUAGAAAAGCAAGGUUUAUUCAGCACUGCUGCAGGCUCAGUGAAGUCCUCUCCAAAAGCUGAGCCUAGCCCCUUUGUUCUCCAUAUCUUUCAUUUUAGUACAGAAUUCUGGGUUUCAAUACUUUCUCAUGCAAGUAACCUUGAUUUCUCUCUUUCUUCAGAUAGCUCUGGUUCCUGACAUAGCUGCUGAGCAAGCAUGAUUACACAGGCAGAAACUAGUAGGUUGCAGUUAUUAACAGAGAUAAAAAGAAACAUCUUAGGAAGGAGAUGCCGCUUCACUAUUAAGGGACCAUUUUUCUGGACUAGCAUAUAGACCAGUAAGAAAGACAAUAUCAAAUAAGGGUUACCAUGGAUGCCAUGGAGUCAGGCAAAUAAUUUGAGUACACGUAUGAGUUCUAUCAUUUUGAACUGCAUGAUCUUGGAUAAGUUGCUUAAUAUUUUUAAACCUUCAUAUUUUCCAUCUGUAAAAUCACAUAAACAAUAUCUACCUCACAGAUUGUUUUGUAGUUCAAAAUGAAUAAAAUCUAGAAUGCCUGGCACAGUACUGAGUAUUCAGGAAAGGACAGAUGUUAGGGUUAGCAAUAAUGAAAAUACAUAUACCCUUCAGUAGCAUGCAAGUAGUCAUCAAAAUUAAGAAAAAAAAAAAAAGAAAAAAAAAAACUUCACCCAUUUUGUAAAGGCUGCUUUACAAAAUAAGAACAGAAUUGAUGAAAGUACAAUAAAUAAUAAGAGAAAGACAAAAGAAUUACAUGAUGCCCUAGGCAGAGGCAGCAAAGCAAAGCUUCUGAGAUUUAAACUCUUUUUUUCAAUUAGAUCUAUAACCAGAAGAUAUCAAUAUCCUUUCAUCAUACAAGGUUCUCUUGUCCAUAGUAUCCUGACUCAAGAAGAAAAAUGUAAAAGUUAAUACUUGUUAAUGUAUCCAUCUUCAGAUAUUUGAUAAAGAAGAGGAGCAACGUCAAACUGAAGUGAUUUUUAUAAUAUUGUAUCUGUAGAAUUUUGUACUUUCUAGUGUCUCUUUGGCCUAGAUAUCUCCCUUCUUUCCUCCUGCCUGGUAAAUGCUAAAAAGUAUUAAACCUUUUUUUUUUUUUCUUGCGCUAAAUAAUCUUGCAACUUUUUAGUAACUCUAAGGAAAAGCUUUGAGGAAGCUGGGAUAGAAACUAUUAUGUAAUAUAUGUGCUUCAAAAACAAGUUUUGAAAAGACAUGACAAAACAUCAAAGCAAUUCAAGAUGAGUUUUCAAUACCCAUUAGACUCUGGAAAAUGAACAUCGUUAAUUGCAGGCUGAAAAAUCAUCAUUCCAGCAUUUUCCUGAUCUAAUAAAAAGUGAAAAGUUCUUACACUUGGAAAACCUUGUGGUAAUUAAAUUCAAUUCAUGGUCUAUUAAAAACCAAAACUAUAAUGGUAACCAUUCAAAUGGUAAAAAAUUGAGAAAAGUUUUGGCAGUUGUAACAUGAGCUUGGAAACUUUAAUGAGAAAGGAAUGCCCCUGGACAUUAGAAACUCUGUUUAACUCAUCUCUAAACUGAAAUAUUUUGUGAACUACGUGGUUUUUCAAUAGAUUAAUUUGCUGGGAACUAAAUGUGCUCAGAAUUUGAAAGUUGUUGGUUUUUAACUUAACAUUAUUAAUGAAUCUCUGGGGAAUAAAUAACACAUAAAACCUGCAAAAUAAAAUAAUAUUUAAAGCUUUCAA